rnacentral:rRNA from 1 species
UACGUAGGUGGCAAGCGUUGUCCGGAUUUAUUGGGUUUAAAGGGUGCGUAGGCGGCCUAUUAAGUCAGUGCUGAAAUAUCCCGGCUUAACCGGGAGGGUGGCAUUGAUACUGAUGGGCUUGAGUAAAGUUGAGGUAGGCGGAAUUGACGGUGUAGCGGUGAAAUGCUUAGAUAUCGUCAAGAACACCUAUUGCGAAGGCAGCUUACUAAGCUUUAACUGACGCUGAUGCACGAAAGUGUGGGGAUCAAACAGG